UACGUAGGGGGCAAGCGUUAUCCGGAAUUACUAGGUGUAAAGGGAGCGUAGACGGUAAUGUAAGUCUGGAGUGAAAGGCGGGGGCCCAACCCCCGGACUGCUCUGGAAACUAUGUUACUAGAGUGCAGGAGAGGUAAGCGGAAUUCCUAGUGUAGCGGUGAAAUGCGUAGAUAUUAGGAGGAACACCAGUGGCGAAGGCGGCUUACUGGACUGUAACUGACGUUGAGGCUCGAAAGCGUGGGGAGCAAACAGG
rnacentral:rRNA from 1 species